CCUACGGGAGGCAGCAGUGAGGAAUAUUGCGCAAUGGGCGAAAGCCUGACGCAGCGACGCCGCGUGGAGGAUGAAGGUCUUCGGAUUGUAAACUCCUGUCGAGCGGGACGCGGUACCGCUGGAGGAAGCCCCGGCUAACUCCGUGCCAGCAGCCGCGGUAAUACGGAGGGGGCCAGCGUUGUUCGGAAUCAUUGGGCGUAAAGGGCGCGUAGGCGGCCGAUCAAGUCCGACGUGAAAUUCCUCGGCUCAACCGAGGGCCUGCGUCGGAUACUGCUCGGCUUGAGUCCCGGAGAGGGUAGUGGAAUUCCCAGUGUAGCGGUGAAAUGCGUAGAUACUGGGAGGAACACCGGUGGCGAAGGCGGCUACCUGGACGGGACUGACGCUGAGGCGCGAAAGCUAGGGGAGCAAACAGGAUUAGAUACCCUUGUAGUC
rnacentral:rRNA from 1 species